AAUCUUAUGUAUAUCUUAUAAGACGAAUUCUGCCCAAUGAAUUUUUUUAAUGGCCGCAGUACCCUGACUGUGCUAAGGUAGCAUAAUAAAUUGGCUUUUAAAUGAGGUCUAGAAUGAAAGAAUAUUUGAAUAAAAAUUGUCUUUAAGUAAUUUAAAUGAAAUUAAUUUAUUAGGUGAAAAGACCUAAUUUUAUAAGAAAGACGAGAAGACCCUUAGAAUUUUAAAAAAAUUUACUCUUAUAUCUUUUUUUUGUUGGGGUGACAUAUUAACAUUUUAAACUUUUUUCUUAAACAGAUUAGCUAUUCAAAUAAGAAAAAAUUACCUUAGGGAUAACAGCAUAAUUUAUUUUAAGAUUAUGACCUCGAUGUUGGACUAGGAACCUAAUAGUUAGUAAUUAUAUUGGUUUAGUUCUGUUCGAACUAUUUUAUCCU
rnacentral:rRNA from 1 species